CUUGCGUCCACCGGUAAAAAGGACGAGUGGCGGAACGGGUGAGUAACACGAUGGUGUAACCUGCCCAUCAAAAGGGGAUAACACUAUGGUAAACAGGUGCUAAUACCGUAUAACAAUCGAAACCGCAUGGUUUUGAUUUGAAAGGCGCUUUCGGGUGUCGCUGAUGGAUGGACCCGCGGUGCAUUAGCUAGUUGGUGAGGUAACGGCUCACCAAGGCCACGAUGCAUAUCCGACCUGAGAGGGUGAUCGGCCACAUUGGGACUGAGACACGGCCCAAACUCCUACGGGAGGCAGCACUAUGGAAUCUUCUGCAAUGGACAAAAGUCUGACCGAGCAACGCCCCGUGAGUGAAGAAAGUUUUCGGAUCUUAAAACUCUGUUGUUAUAGAAGAACAAGGAUGAGAGUAACUGUUCAUCCCUUGACGGUAUCUAACCACAAAACCACGGCUAACUACAUGCCAGCACCCGCGGUAAUACAUAUGUGGCAAGCGUUGUCCGGAUUUAUUGGGCGUAAAGCGAGCGCACGCGGUUUCUUAAAUCUGAUGUGAAAGCCCCCGGCUCAACCGGGGAGGGUCAUUGGAAACUGGGAGACUUGAGUGCACAAGAGGAGAGUGUAAUUCCCUGUGUAUCGCUGAGAUGCGUAUAUAUAUGGAGGAACACCAGUGUCGAAAGCGGCUCUCUGGUCUGUAACUGACACUGAGGCUCUAAAGCGUGUGGAGCACACAGGAUUAUAUACCCUGGUAGUCCACGCGCUAUACGAUGAGUGCUAUAUGUUGUAGGGUGUCCGCGCUUCAGUGCUGCAGCUAACGCAUUAUGCACUCCGCCUGGGGAGUACUACCGCACGGUUGAAACUCUCAGGAGUUGACGGGGGGCGCGCACAAACGCUGGAGCAUGUGGUUUAUUUCUAAGCAACGCGAAGAACCUUACCACGUCUUGACAUCCUUUGACCACUCUAAAGAUAGAGCUUCCCCUCUGGGGCAAAGUGACAAG
rnacentral:rRNA from 1 species